rnacentral:rRNA from 2 species
GCCUAAAGAUGAGCUCGCGUCUGAUUAGCUAGUAGGUGGGGUAAAAGCCUACCUAGGCGACGAUCAGUAGCUGGUCUGAGAGGAUGAUCAGCCACACUGGGACUGAGACACGGCCCAGACUCCUACGGGAGGCAGCAGUGGGGAAUUUUCCGCAAUGGGCGAAAGCCUGACGGAGCAAUACCGCGUGAGGGAGGAAGGCUCUUGGGUUGUAAACCUCUUUUCUCAGGGAAGAAAAAAAUGACGGUACCUGAGGAAUAAGCAUCGGCUAACUCCGUGCCAGCAGCCGCGGUAAUACGGAGGAUGCAAGCGUUAUCCGGAAUGAUUGGGCGUAAAGCGUCCGCAGGUGGCUGUGUAAGUCUGCUGUUAAAGAGCAAAGCUCAACUUUGUAAGAGCAGUGGAAACUACACGGCUAGAGUGCGUUCGGGGCAGAGGGAAUUCCUGGUGUAGCGGUGAAAUGCGUAGAGAUCAGGAAGAACACCGGUGGCGAAGGCGCUCUGCUAGGCCGCAACUGAUAGUGAUCUGUGCUGAACCGU